rnacentral:rRNA from 1 species
GAUGAACGCUAGCGGGAGGCCUAACACAUGCAAGCUGAGCGGUAGAGAUCUUUCGGGAUCUUGAGAGCGGCGUACGGGUGCGGAACACGUGUGCAACCUGCCUUUCUCAGAGGGAUAGCCUUUCGAAAGGAAGAUUAAUACCUCAUAAUAUAAUGAAGGGCAUCAUUUAUUAUUAAAAACUCAGGUGGAUAGAGAUGGGCACGAGCAAGAUUAGAUAGUUGGUGAGGUAACGGCUCACCAAGUCGAUGAUCUUUAGGGGGCCUGAGAGGGUGAUCCCCCACACUGGUACUGAGCCACGGACCAGACUCCUACGGGAGGCAGCAGUGAGGAAUAUUGGACAAUGGGUUAGCGCCUGAUCCAGCCAUCCCGCGUGAAGGACGACGGCCCUAUGGGUUGUAAACUUCUUUUGUACAGGGAUAACCUACUCUCGUGAGAGUAGCUGAAGGUACUGUACGAAUAAGCACCGGCUAACUCCGUGCCAGCAGCCGCAGUAACAC